rnacentral:rRNA from 1 species
UAGGGAAUCUUCGGCAAUGGACGAAAGUCUGACCGAGCAACGCCGCGUGAGUGAAGAAGGUUUUCGGAUCGUAAAACUCUGUUGUUAGAGAAGAACAAGGACGUUAGUAACUGAACGUCCCCUGACGGUAUCUAACCAGAAAGCCACGGCUAACUACGUGCCAGCAGCCGCGGUAAUACGUAGGUGGCAAGCGUUGUCCGGAUUUAUUGGGCGUAAAGCGAGCGCAGGCGGUUUCUUAAGUCUGAUGUGAAAGCCCCCGGCUCAACCAGGGAGGGUCAUUGGAAACGGGGAGACUUGAGUGCAGAAGAGGAGAGUGGAAUUCCAUGUGUAGCGGUGAAAUGCGUAGAUAUAUGGAGGAACACCAGUGGCGAAGGCGGCUCUCUGGUCUGUAACUGACGCUGAGGCUCGAAAGCGUGGGGAGCAAACAGG